GUGCUUCAUAAAUAGGUACAGAAACCACUCAAUCCAUUGAUUUAUCGAAAAAUAAAUCGCCCUUUCACGGCGGUAACUGGGGUUCGAAUCCCCUUGGGGACGCCA
rnacentral:tRNA from 1 species